ACGGGUGAGGAAUACAUCGGAAUCUGCCUUGUUGUGGGGGAUAACGUAGGGAAACUUACGCUAAUACCGCAUAAGACCGAAAGGUGAAAGUGGGGGACCGCAAGGCCUCACGCGACAAGAUGAGCCGAUGUCGGAUUAGCUAGUUGGUGAGGUAAUGGCUCACCAAGGCGACGAUCCGUAGCUGGUCUGAGAGGAUGAUCAGCCACGCUGGAACUGAGACACGGUCCAGACUCCUACGGGAGGCAGCAGUGGGGAAUAUUGGACAAUGGGCGCAAGCCUGAUCCAGCCAUGCCGCGUGGGUGAAGAAGGCCUUCGGGUUGUAAAGCCCUUUUGUUGGGGAAGAAAUCGUACGGGGUAAUAUCCCGUGCGGAUGACGGUACCCAAGGAAUAAGCACCGGCUAACUUCGUGCCAGCAGCCGCGGUAAUACGAAGGUGCAAGCGUUACUCGGAAUUACUGGGCGUAAAGCGUGCGUAGGCGGUUCGUUAAGUCUGUCGUGAAAGCCCUGGGCUCAACCUGGGAAUUGCGAUGGAUACUGGCGAGCUAGAGUACGGUAGAGGAUGGUGGAAUUCCCGGUGUAGCGGUG
rnacentral:rRNA from 1 species